CGGGUGAGUAACACGUGAGCAACCUGCCCCUGACUCUGGGAUAAGCGGUGGAAACGCCGUCUAAUACCGGAUACGACCCGCCACCUCAUGGUGGAGGGUGGAAAGUUUUUCGGUCAGGGAUGGGCUCGCGGCCUAUCAGCUUGUUGGUGGGGUAACGGCCUACCAAGGCGAUUACGGGUAGCCGGCCUGAGAGGGCGACCGGCCACACUGGGACUGAGACACGUAACAGACUCAUGCGGGAGGCAGCAGUGGGGAAUAUUGCGCAAUGGGCGAAAGCCUGACGCAGCGACGCCGCGUGGGGGAUGACGGCCUUCGGGUUGUAAUCCUCUUUUACCACCAACGCAGGCUCCCAGUUCUCUGGGGGUUGACGGUAGGUGGGGAAUAAGGACCGGCUAACUACGUGCCAGCAGCCGCGGUAAUACGUAGGGUCCGAGCGUUGUCCGGAAUUAUUGGGCGUAAAGAGCUCGUAGGCGGCGUGUCGCGUCUGCUGUGAAAGACCGGGGCUUAACUCCGGUUCUGCAGUGGAUACGGGCAUGCUAGAGGUAGGUAGGGGAGACUGGAAUUCCUGGUGUAGCGGUGAAAUGCGCAGAUAUCAGGAGGAACACCGGUGGCGAAGGCGGGUCUCUGGGCCUUACCUGACGCUGAGGAGCGAAAGCAUGGGGAGCGAACAGGAUUAGAUACCCUGGUAGUCCAUGCCGUAAACGUUGGGCGCUAGGUGUGGGGACUUUCCACGGUUUCCGCGCCGUAGCUAACGCAUUAAGCGCCCCGCCUGGGGAGUACGGCCGCAAGAUAAAAACUUCAAAGGAAUUGACGGGGGCCCGGCA
rnacentral:rRNA from 1 species